UGAAUGCUACUAUACAGGGCUAGAACGUAAAACAUGAACAAUAGACUCUAAACAAUAAAAAUCUCCUCAAGCAGCUCCUGAAUGCAGUGGUCUUGGGGGUAUUUGUCAUGCUCAAACCCCAGUAAGUAAAUCCACACCUGUAUGAGAAAACUGAAACCAACACUAUGUGAGAUAAUAACAUUUCCUACUAGACACAUGCAAGACAUGGUUGAGACUAUUUUUGCAAAAUGGUUUGUUUGGCCAAAAGGUGGCUAGAAGUGCAAAAUUUGGCUAAGACCCCGCAAAGCCAAGAACAUAAGAUUCACUAGGAAGACCGGACCCUAUGUGGGUUGCCUACGUAUCACACCCCGAAAGACGAUAAUCAGGUAUGCGUAGUUCGGGCAGAUUGGAUACGGGAAAGAAAUAAAAAUAACAACUGAUUCAGAAAAAAAAAUAUUUUGUCUUUUGUUUUGAAAAAAAUGAUGAAACAUGUAAACAUCUUUUUGGAUUUUCUUUUUCCUCUUUUUUUUUUCGAUUUUUGAUUUUCGGAAAAUGAUGAAAAAGUGCAUAAUCUUUUUGAAUUUUUUAUUUCAUUUUUUUUUGUUUUUUUGUUUUUUUUUUUAAAUGUGACAGAAAACAUAACUGGGCCCUACUUGCUUUACUUUCACACUUCACCCUCUCUUUUGUAUUUUUUUUUUUUUCAUUUGCCCUCAACUAUUAUCGGUCUGCCAAAUGACCCUUUUACCCUUGAAGAAAUGCAACAUGUAGUACAUAGGAUGCAUCAAGAUGGUCUUUUAUUUUGGGGUACACUUUCCUAGACGGGCCCAACCCCUGUGUUGAGUUCCUACUAGGGUUCCGGCAUGAGGCUGAGUUAUUCUAAGUUCAAAACCUGGGUAUGCUAUUCUAGACUUGUGUACCCAAGCAGACAACUCGAGCCGAAGGGAGGCUACGUACCGGGAACCAAAAGGCAAUCCGGCUGUGUAACUUGUCCGAGCCUCUUCCUAAUUUAAGGUAUGACACUAACAGAAGAGGAGUCACGCCAGCGUGCACAUCACCGAAGAUGGGAAAAGAAGGAUUUUGUAGCAGUUUAUAUACAAUUCAAAUAGUAACAAAGCGGUAAAAAGCAGCAUUUAGCACAUUAAGCACAAACAUGUAAUAAAACCAGAUAAUAAAUAAAGUUAAAUAUAACAAUUAUUCUAAACUCGAAUUCUUGAACCCUGAACGAGAAGUUCUGGGUUCUUAUCCCCAGCAGAGUUGCCAGAGCUGUCACACCUCCUUUUUCCUACACCCGAAAAGGGUAUAAGGGAGUUUUUUCCAAUUUAAGUGACAAUCGAAACGGAAUUUAUUUAAGAAUCAGAGUCGCCACUUGGGAUAAUUUAUGGUGUCCCAAGUCACCGGUUUAGAAUCCCGAAUCGAGGAAAGAUUGACUCUGUUUUAUAGUCCGCGAACACAGAAAUCCGGGUAAGAAAUUCUGUUAACUUGGAAGAAGGUGUUAGGCAUUUCCGGGUUCCGUGGUUCUAGCACGGUCACUUAACUAUUAUUCUUGGCUUAAUUAUCUUAUUUUAAACACUUUUAAACCUAUGUGCAUUUUUAACUUUAAAACCGCUUUUAAUAAUCCAAUUAUUAUACAACCAGUUAUUUUAAUUACAUGUUGCAAAUCAUGUCACAGGAACCAUACCCACGAUCCACAACAUGUUUAUUUUAUUAACAAGAUUAAAUUGUGGUCGGGUCACAUAAAUGUACCCCUAGAUUUUUGGAAAUUAGGCGUCACGACCACGUCACGGGAACCGUACCCGUAGCUAUGACAAUUUAUUUAAUUAAACGCGCCUAAACAAACUAAGAGAGUUCAAAGCAUUUUUACACUAGUUAAGAUAUAGAUGUGAGGGCCAUAGACUAGGCGAUUGGAUGGCACACCUCAAAUUUAUAACAGAAAAAAAAAUUUAACUAAGUAAUCGAAAAAUUCAAAAGACCUUUCUUUUACAAGAGUACAAUGGUGUAUAUCCCAUAACUUAAAAAACCAAACGAUCAAAUAUGAUAAAUAUCACAUGAAGCUAAUUAACAAAUGAAACAUAUCACAUUCUGCCAAAAAACAACCAGAUGGUAACUCGACAAGCAGAAAUUUACAACUACAAAUAUCAAACAAAUCCAUAGAAAGAAGUCUCAAACAUAUUAAACUUAACAAUAAGAACACCAAGCAAUCACAUAACAAUAAGCAAUUUAUCAAAUACUAAGCAUGAUAUUAAGAGAAAUCACUCAGUGAGCUUUUAGGAAGCAUUGUAUGAACCGAACCUUACAGGAUUUUCACCAAGACAAAAAUCUGGAUCCGAUUUUGGACUGCAAAUGGAACCUCGCUGAACUACCUCGAUCUCGAUAGUAUCUCAAUCAUGAUUUCAAAAGAUAUUGAAUGGACGAUAACUUGAAAAGCCAAGCGAAGCUUGAAACCGGAUUCAAGUUCCUCUCGUGCUCACAAAACUCCAUUGGUUCGCUGUUGUCCUUUUCUUGUUUUUGUGUGUGUUUGUGGCUAUGUGUGGGUGUUUUCCGUCAAGCUAUGGUACGGAGAAGGAGGAGCAACGAUGGGUGUUAGAGAAUGGUCGAGAUCUGCCGGCUGCUUAAGGUCGUUCGCGUUUUUCCGGCGAGCUGGUGAGAUCGAGUGAAAAGGAAAGGUCGUUGCUGCUGUUGAAUGCUGGCGUGAGGAGGAGGAUAGGUGGGGUUGUUUUGGUCGGUGAAGGUUUAGAGUCACUGGUUAUUGUGUUUGACGUGCGGGGUGGUCAUUUUACGGUGAUGGUGAGAUGAAGGGUGGUCGUCGAUGGAGCUGGUGGACGUUGGUUACUGGUUUUUGGCUGGUCGUUGGGAUGAUUGGAGAUGGGCUGGUUGUUGUGAUGUUCAGGGGUGUGGUUAAGAAGAAGCCAUUGAAAUAGCUCUUCUCUGAAGAAGGAGCUCCGUUGAUGAGGAGGGGUGUGUGAAGGAGACGAAGCUUCAGGGAGGGGGGAGGGGUUCCUUUCUGAAAAUCAACCGCUCCUCAUUCUUAGGAGUCUAGGUCUGAUUUUUGUUCUCU
rnacentral:lncRNA from 1 species